GAUGAACGCUGGCGGCGUGCUUAACACAUGCAAGUCGAACGAAGCAGAUUGAGAUCUUCGGAAGGAUAUCUGACUGAGUGGCGGACGGGUGAGUAACGCGUGGGUAACCUGCCUCAUACAGGGGGAUAACAGUUAGAAAUGACUGCUAAUACCGCAUAAGCGCACGGUAUCGCAUGAUACGGUGUGAAAAACUCCGGUGGUAUGAGAUGGACCCGCGUCUGAUUAGCUAGUUGGUGGGGUAACGGCCUACCAAGGCGACGAUCAGUAGCGACCUGAGAGGUGACCGGCCACAUUGGGACUGAGACACGGCCCAAAACUCCUACGGGAGCAGCAGUGGGGAAUAUUGCACAAUGGGCGCAAGCCUGAUGCAG
rnacentral:rRNA from 1 species